AGUAACACGUGGGUAACCUGCCCUUAAGUCUGGGAUACCAUUUGGAAACAGAUGCUAAUACCGGAUAAAAGCUACUUUCGCAUGAAAGAAGUUUAAAAGGCGGCGUAAGCUGUCGCUAAAGGAUGGACCUGCGAUGCAUUAGCUAGUUGGUAAGGUAACGGCUUACCAAGGCGAUGAUGCAUAGCCGAGUUGAGAGACUGAUAGGCCACAUUGGGACUGAGACACGGCCCAAACUCCUACGGGAGGCAGCAGCC
rnacentral:rRNA from 1 species